rnacentral:rRNA from 1 species
UACGUAGGGUGCGAGCGUUAAUCGGAAUUACUGGGCGUAAAGCGUGCGCAGGCGGUUUUGUAAGUCAGAUGUGAAAUCCCCGGGCUUAACCUGGGAAUGGCAUUUGGGACUGCAAAGCUUGAGUGCGGCAGAGGGGACUGGAAUUCCUGGUGUAGCAGUGAAAUGCGUAGAGAUCAGGAGGAAUACCGAUGGCGAAGGCAGGUCCCUGGGCUGACACUGACGCUCAUGCACGAAAGCGUGGGGAGCAAACAGG